UACGUAGGUGGCAAGCGUUGUCCGGAUUUACUGGGCGUAAAGAGCGCGCGGGCGGUCGUUCAAGUCGCGUGUGAAAGCCCCCGGCUCAACUGGGGAGGGUCACGCGAUACUGAUCGACUCGAAGGCAGGAGAGGGAAGUGGAAUUCCCGGUGUAGUGGUGAAAUGCGUAGAUAUCGGGAGGAACACCAGUGGCGAAGGCGACUUCCUGGCCUGUUCUUGACGCUGAGGCGCGAAAGCUAGGGGAGCAAACGGG
rnacentral:rRNA from 1 species